rnacentral:rRNA from 1 species
UACGUAGGGUGCGAGCGUUAAUCGGAAUUACUGGGCGUAAAGCGUGCGUAGGCGGUUCCUCAAGUCCGUUGUGAAAGCCCCGGGCUCAACCUGGGAAUGGCAGUGGAAACUAGGGGACUGGAAUCUGGCAGAGGGGGGUGGAAUGCCGCGUGUAGCAGUGAAAUGCGUAGAGAUGCGGCGGAACACCGAUGGCGAAGGCAGCCCCCUGGGCUGAGAUUGACGCUCAGGCACGAAAGCGUGGGGAUCAAACAGG